GUCUACAGCCAACCACCCUGAACAUGCCUGAUCGCAUCUGAUAUCGGAAGCUAAGCAAGAUUGGGCCUGGUUAGUACUUGGAUUGGAGACAAAAUGCUGAGAUUACAGGGGUGAGCC
rnacentral:rRNA from 1 species